AUCUGGCCCUUUCAAGGGGAACGUGCCUUCACUAUAUUGUGUGGUGCGAGAUCCUUGACUUUUACUUUGAGGAAAUAAGAGUGUUCCAAGCAGGCUCUCUCCCUGAAUAGCUCAGCAUGGAAUAAUAGCAUUGGACUUCGUUUCUAAGCUGUUGGUUGCAAGAAGCGAGGUAAUGAUGAAGAGGGAUAGUUGGGGGCAUUCGUAUUUAACUGUCAGAGGUGAAAUUCUUGGAUUUGUUAAAGACUUUUUUCUGCGAAAGCAUCUGCCAUGGAUGUUUUCAUUGAUCAAGAACGAAAGUUAGGGGAUCGAAGACGAUCA
rnacentral:rRNA from 1 species